rnacentral:rRNA from 1 species
UGGGGAAUUUUCCGCAAUGGGCGCAAGCCUGACGGAGCAACGCCGCGUGAGGGAUGAAGGCCUCUGGGCUGUAAACCUCUUUUCUCAAGGAAGAAGAUCUGACGGUACUUGAGGAAUAAGCCACGGCUAAUUCCGUGCCAGCAGCCGCGGUAAUACGGGAGUGGCAAGCGUUAUCCGGAAUUAUUGGGCGUAAAGCGUCCGCAGGCGGCCUCGUAAGUCUGUCGUUAAAGCGUGGAGCUUAACUCCAUUUAAGCGAUGGAAACUGCAAGACUAGAGUGUGGUAGGGGCAGAGGGAAUUCCCGGUGUAGCGGUGAAAUGCGUAGAUAUCGGGAAGAACACCAGUGGCGAAGGCGCUCUGCUGGGCCAUAACUGACGCUCAUGGACGAAAGCCAGGGGAGCGAAAGGGAUUAGAUACCCCUGUAGUC